rnacentral:rRNA from 1 species
UAAAAUGAGAGUUUGAUCCUGGCUCAGGACGAACGCUGGCGGCGUGCCUAAUACAUGCAAGUCGAACGAAACUUUCUUACACCGAAUGCUUGCAUUCACCGUAAGAAGUUGAGUGGCGGACGGGUGAGUAACACGUGGGUAACCUGCCUAAAAGAAGGGGAUAACACUUGGAAACAGGUGCUAAUACCGUAUAUCUCUAAGGAUCGCAUGAUCCUUAGAUAAAAGAUGGUUCUGCUAUCGCUUUUAGAUGGACCCGCGGCGUAUUAACUAGUUGGUGGGGUAACGGCCUACCAAGGUGAUGAUACGUAGCCGAACUGAGAGGUUGAUCGGCCACAUUGGGACUGAGACACGGCCCAAACUCCUACGGGAGGCAGCAGUAGGGAAUCUUCCACAAUGGACGCAAGUCUGAUGGAGCAACGCCGCGUGAGUGAAGAAGGUCUUCGGAUCGUAAAACUCUGUUGUUAGAGAAGAACACGAGUGAGAGUAACUGUUCAUUCGAUGACGGUAUCUAACCAGCAAGUCACGGCUAACUACGUGCCAGCAGCCGCGGUAAUACGUAGGUGGCAAGCGUUGUCCGGAUUUAUUGGGCGUAAAGGGAACGCAGGCGGUCUUUUAAGUCUGAUGUGAAAGCCUUCGGCUUAACCGGAGUAGUGCAUUGGAAACUGGAAGACUUGAGUGCAGAAGAGGAGAGUGGAACUCCAUGUGUAGCGGUGAAAUGCGUAGAUAUAUGGAAGAACACCAGUGGCGAAAGCGGCUCUCUGGUCUGUAACUGACGCUGAGGUUCGAAAGCGUGGGUAGCAAACAGGAUUAGAUACCCUGGUAGUCCACGCCGUAAACGAUGAAUGCUAGGUGUUGGAGGGUUUCCGCCCUUCAGUGCCGCAGCUAACGCAAUAAGCAUUCCGCCUGGGGAGUACGACCGCAAGGUUGAAACUCAAAGGAAUUGACGGGGCCCGCACAAGCGGUGGAGCAUGUGGUUUAAUUCGAAGCAACGCGAAGAACCUUACCAGGUCUUGACAUCCUUUGACCACCUAAGAGAUUAGGCUUUCCUUCGGGGACAAAGUGACAGGUGGUGCAUGGCUGUCGUCAGCUCGUGUCGUGAGAUGUUGGGUUAAGUCCCGCAACGAGCGCAACCCUUGUUGUCAGUUGCCAGCAUUAAGUUGGGCACUCUGGCGAGACUGCCGGUGACAAACCGGAGGAAGGUGGGGACGACGUCAAGUCAUCAUGCCCCUUAUGACCUGGGCUACACACGUGCUACAAUGGACGGUACAACGAGUCGCAAGACCGCGAGGUUUAGCUAAUCUCUUAAAGCCGUUCUCAGUUCGGAUUGUAGGCUGCAACUCGCCUACAUGAAGUCGGAAUCGCUAGUAAUCGCGAAUCAGCAUGUCGCGGUGAAUACGUUCCCGGGCCUUGUACACACCGCCCGUCACACCAUGAGAGUUUGUAACACCCAAAGCCGGUGGGGUAACCGCAAGGAGCUAGCCGUCUAAGGUGGGACAGAUGAUUGGGGUGAAGUCGUAACAAGGUAGCCGUAGGAGAACCUGCGGCUGGAUCACCUCCUUU